CUGAUGCGGGCCUCGAACCCAUGAGCCGCGAGAUCACGACCUGGGCCGAAGUCGGACGCUUCACCGACUGAGCCACCCAGCGGCCCCCCCCCCCGUAUCUCUUUGGGACUGCCGGGAAACCCAGGGAGAUCUACCCAAUCACUCGUGUGGACCACCUGCAAGGUUUUAAUUACUUGCAGUCUUCGCAGCUAUUAAUGAAGCCAGGAAAAACAAAACCUGAGACCCUUACAACCUGGUAAGUGACUAGAACUCAAACUAUUUCUCAUGACCCACAUCCAACUAGGGGCUAGCCCACCUGGGAGACAGAACACGUAUUACAAAACACAAACCGAACAGGGAAGAACUCCUUUUCCCCGCUGGCUUACUGGUCAUAAUCAAAAAGUACCUAUUUCACUUUAGCUUGCGGGCUAGGGAACUUGGACU